ACCAUGUAGUACUCAUAAAACAAAUGUUUUCUACCAUGUAGUACUAAUGUAACAAGGGGUUUUCUACCAUGUAGUACUCAUGUAACAAGGGAUUUCUACCAUGUAGUACUCAUGUAACAAGGGGGUUUCUACCAUGCAGUACUCAUGUACCAAGGGUUUUCUUUUGUUAAAUGUCCCUGUAAUAAGUUA